GUGCUAUGGCGCAGCUACACAUGCAGUCGAACGGUAGCACAGAGAGCUUGCUCUCGGGUGACGAGUGGCGGACGGGUGAGUAAUGUCUGGGAAACUGCCUGAUGGAGGGGGAUAACUACUGGAAACGGUAGCUAAUACCGCAUAACGUCGCAAGACCAAAGAGGGGGACCUUCGGGCCUCUUGCCAUCAGAUGUGCCCAGAUGGGAUUAGCUAGUAGGUGGGGUAACGGCUCACCUAGGCGACGAUCCCUAGCUGGUCUGAGAGGAUGACCAGCCACACUGGAACUGAGACACGGUCCAGACUCCUACGGGAGGCAGCAGUGGGGAAUAUUGCACAAUGGGCGCAAGCCUGAUGCAGCCAUGCCGCGUGUAUGAAGAAGGCCUUCGGGUUGUAAAGUACUUUCAGCGGGGAGGAAGGCGAUGAGGUUAAUAACCUUGUCGAUUGACGUUACCCGCAGAAGAAGCACCGGCUAACUCCGUGCCAGCAGCCGCGGUAAUACGGAGGGUGCAAGCGUUAAUCGGAAUUACUGGGCGUAAAGCGCACGCAGGCGGUCUGUCAAGUCUGAUGUGAAAUCCCCGGGCUCAACCUGGGAACUGCAUUCCAAACUGGCAUGCUAUAGUCUUGUACAGGGCGGUAGAAUUCCAUGAGGAGCGGUAAAACUCCGUUACAUCCUUAAUAAUCCGGACGCCAAGGCCCCCCC
rnacentral:rRNA from 1 species